AAGACUAUACUUUCAGGGAUCAUUUCUAUAGUUUGUUACUAGAGAAGUUUCUCUGAAUGUGUAGAGUACCUAAAGAAUAUGAAAUUUUUGUAUCUCAUGA
rnacentral:snoRNA from 1 species